UACGAAGGGGGCUAGCGUUGCUCGGAAUCACUGGGCGUAAAGCGCACGUAGGCGGGUCUUUAAGUCAGGGGUGAAAUCCUGGAGCUCAACUCCAGAACUGCCUUUGAUACUGGAGAGCUCGAGUCCGGAAGAGGUGAGUGGAACUCGAGUGUAGAGGUGAAAUUCGUAGAUAUUCGGCAAGAACACCAGUGGCGAAGGCGGCUCACUGGCCCGGUACUGACGCUGAGGUGCGAAAGCGUGGGGAGCAAACAGGAUUAGAAUCACCUACGUACG
rnacentral:rRNA from 1 species